rnacentral:rRNA from 1 species
AUUGAACGCUGGCGGCGGGCCUAACACAUGCAAGUCGAACGCGUCGCGGACGGGUGAGUAAUGUCUGGGAAACUGCCUGAAGGAGGGGGAUACCUCCUGGAACCGGUACCUAAUACCGCAUACCAUCAGAUGUUCCCAGCUGGUAUUAUCUAGUUGGUGGGGUAACGGCUUCCCAAGGCGACGAUCCAUAGCUGGCCUGAGAGGAUGACCAGCAACAUUGGAACUGAGACACGGUCCAGACGCCUACGGGAGGCAGCAGUGGGGAAUAUUGCACAAUGGGCGCAAGCCUGAUGCAGCCAUGCCGCGUGUAUGAAGAAGGCCUUCGGGUUGUAAAGUACUUUCAGCGGGGAGGCGGUACCCGAAGAAGAAGCACCGGCUAACUCCGUGCCAGCAGCCGCGGUAAUAC